GCAUAUCAAUAAGCGGAGGAAAAGAAACCAACAGGGAUUGCCUCAGUAACGGCGAGUGAAGCGGCAACAGCUCAAAUUUGAAAUCUGGACGCCUUGCGCGGCCCGAGUUGUAAUUUGAAGAGGAUGCUUCUGGCAAGGUGCCUUCCGAGUGCCCUGGAACGGGACGCCAAAGAGGGUGAGAGCCCCGUAUGGUCGGACGCCGAGCCUAUGUGAAGCUCCUUCGACGAGUCGAGUAGUUUGGGAAUGCUGCUCAAAAUGGGAGGUAAACCCCUUCUAAAGCUAAAUACCGGCCAGAGACCGAUAGCGCACAAGUAGAGUGAUCGAAAGAUGAAAAGCACUUUGAAAAGAGAGUUAAAAAGCACGUGAAAUUGUUGAAAGGGAAGCGCUCGCGACCAGACUUGCGCCCGUCGGAUCAACCGUCGCUUGCGGCGGCUCACUCCGGCGGGCUCAGGCCAGCAUCAGCUUUCCGGGGGGGAGAAAGGCGGUGGGAAUGUAGCUCCUCGGAGUGUUAUAGCCCGCCGCGUAAUACCCUCUGGGGGGCUGAGGACCGCGCAUCUGCCAGGAUGCUGGCGUAAUGGUUGCCAUCGACCCGUCUUGAAACACGGACC
rnacentral:rRNA from 1 species